GAGAAGUUCUCACCAACAGCAGAAAGACACCAAGCAGCAGAUACGGGUUUAGCGGGAACAGCUAGCUUUAUCGGAAGGAGCUGAAUCCACAUCUGCUAUAGCUAAAAUACUUGUUUCUGACCCAUGUGGUUUUACUCAACUUGAGGCCAAAAUGCCUAAUUUGAGCAUCUUUGUUUAGAGAGUUGGGUAUUUGAGUUGAGCAUAUAACUAAAAAGAUGCCAACCCUGAUUUGCUUGUUUCCCUUAUUUCCGAGCCCAAAGCCCUCGCUUCAGGUUGGGUUUGGCUAUCUGGAUAGGGGUACAUUGGACAUCAAAGUAUUAUAGCAAAAAUCUUCUUUUCCGACCCCACCUGUACUUUGCCCAAUUGGAAGAGGAAAGCACUUUCCCACUCUGGUUGAAAAAAUCUGGUUGAGAAGCCUAUCUAGGCAAGGUAAAGAGCUAGACUUCUGCACUAAACCUCAAAGACUCAAUUACCCUAUAAGAUAUGGCCAAAGAACGUCAAUUGCCCUUUAAGUAAGAUAUGGCCUUUU
rnacentral:lncRNA from 1 species